rnacentral:rRNA from 1 species
CUACCCGGGUUUCUAAUCCCGUUCGCUCCCCUAGCUUUCGCGCCUCAGCGUCAGUGUCAGCCUAGUAACUCGCCUUCGCCUCUGGUGUUCCUCUUGAUAUCUACGCAUUUCACCGCUACACCAAGAAUUCCAGUUACCCCUUCUGCACUCUAGCAUAACAGUAUCACUUGACCGUUCCGAGUUAAGCCCGGAGAUUUCACAAGUGACUUGUUACGCCGCCUACACGCCCUUUACGCCCAGUAAAUCCGAACAACGCUUGCUCCCUACGUAUUACCGCGGCGGCUGGCAC